rnacentral:rRNA from 1 species
UGGGGAAUAUUGGACAAUGGGCGCAAGCCUGAUCCAGCAAUGCCGCGUGUGUGAAGAAGGCCCUAGGGUUGUAAAGCACUUUCAGUAGGGAAGAAAAGCAGGGUGUUAACACCACCACUGUCAUGACGUUACCUACAGAAGAAGCACCGGCUAACUCCGUGCCAGCAGCCGCGGUAAUACGGAGGGUGCGAGCGUUAAUCGGAAUUACUGGGCGUAAAGGGCGCGUAGGUGGUUUGGUAAGUCGGAUGUGAAAGCCCCGGGCUCAACUUGGGAACUGCAUUCGAUACUGCCUGGCUAGAGUGUGGUAGAGGGAAGCGGAAUUCCCGGUGUAGCGGUGAAAUGCGUAGAUAUCGGGAGGAACAUCAGUGGCGAAGGCGGCUUCCUGGACCAACACUGACACUGAGGCGCGAAAGCGUGGGGAGCAAACAGGAUUAGAUACCCCCGUAGUCC